GGCCCUGGCGACCGAGGGUCCUCCGCUCCCCAAAAGGCCCUCCAGCUACCUUCAGCGCUUCCCUGCCGUCCUUCCCGCCACCCACUCCCUAGAAUCGUCUGACAGAGAAGCUAAGUUAGGAAUACUUAAGGCCUCCCAGACUGAAGUAUCCUGUCACCAAGUUCAGGCCUGGCAAGAGAUGACUAAACAGAAACCAAGUGUACCUAAAGAGAAUGCAAAUAAGAAGAACCCAGUGGAUAGUUCUUCCAUAACUCCUAGAAUCUCCAAAGCCCAAUUAUCAACAAAUAUUUAUUCAAAUUGAACAUAUUUACUAUUGGAUAAUCUUAUCAGCAACUUUUCUUCUUUUAUUUCCUAACAAGCUUCAGAUGCAUCAAGCCCUCUGUUACGUGAGAGCAUAGCAUUCCUCCCUUCCAGAGGAUGCAGCAUUGAAGGUGUCAUCUAGGAAUCAGAAUCCUCAAACCUGCUGGCACCUGCAUACUGGGCUUUCCAGCCGCCAGAGCUAAUACAUUUAUGUUCAUUUUCUACUACCCAGUCUGUGGUUACAGCAGCACACAACUGAUGAUAAGCAUUAUGGAGAAUCCGGGAUUGGUACAGAGAGAGAGAGAGAGAGAGAGAGGUCUUCCUUCUGUUGAUUCACCCCCCAAAUGGCCGCUACUGCCGGUGCUGCCCCGAUCCGUAGCCAGGAGCCAGAUGCUGCUUAAUGUUACAGGUAAUCGCAACCUGCAGCAGCUGGCAUUUGCUCAACCCCUAAAUUAAAUGAGAUGUUAAAUGAUGCUCCUGGAAGAAGUC